CAUUCUCUUUUUUAAUGCACUGGGCCCUUUCUUUCAAAUUAGUCAGUUCGUUUCAGAUCUUGUCAUUUCUGCUAUAGGUGACUGCUCAAGAUGUGGCUUCCUGUAGUUCAGAGAUAGUUUUCAAAACUGCCUCAAGCUUAUGUAGUAGUGUUAAGAAUAAACAGGUGUGGAACAUAUGGCCUAUAUUUGAAUAGUUGUGGGAAUAACUGUGGGAACAUGGAGCAGCAAGAAUAAGCUGUGGGACCAAUGGGCUGUGGGAACAUAGAGCAGCUGACCCCCAACAGGGUCUUCAUGGUUGUAUGACCUGAAUACAUUUUCAAAGCGGAGCCACAGGAUGCGGGCUUCUACUCUGUUCCACUAUUAGACGCGCCUUUGUCCUGCACCUGGCCUCAGCGAGGUGGGAUGUGCAUACUCUUACUUUUAUAAAAAUGUUGUAUAUUGACCACUAAUUCUGUGCAUGCUGUCAUACAGAGAUGAUGAACCAUUCCUGAAGUUGGACGCCAGAAUGCAGGAAGGUGCUGUUUAAGAGCCUAGGCGGUGGAAGAAGCACUUGCAGGUAUGCUACCGACCAGGCUCCUCAACAUCAAUCCGAGACGGAAGAUGAAACGGGAUGAAGCAGUUAGAUUGAGGAUAACGUACCUCAACAGUCUUCUUCAGAUUCUCUACAAACACAGUCUGAGUGGUGAUUAGAACAUGCCUGGCAUCCAAGGGUGUGGCCAGUUUGUUAACCCUUUACACUCUACACUUUACAAUUAGAAUUAUUGUACACUGUCUGGACAAGAUGUAGAAUACUACUGAGCGACAGUGAUAUGUCAUGUUCUUAAUACUGUUAUAUCCUGUCAUUACAGACAAGGCGGCCGGAAACUUUGAUGACCUCAAUGACACUGGCUAGGUGAAGGACAUCAACAAAAUGGCAUCAGGUCACCAGACAUCAGCUCAUAAUCCACAACGUCAUCAACCAUUUUGCGCCAAAAAUGAAGCCGUUCACAUACCAUGGCAUCCUAAGCAGGCAGCACUACACUACUGUGCAACAGUGAGAGAGAGCGGGCAAGGACAAGUAAAGCGGACCUACACUACAGCAAGACUUUGACACUUCUCCACGUUAGAGGCAGCCAUCACCCCCACCGUUGAGCAGCGGCUAUGUGUAACCCCCAAAAGAGGAGAUGAUCCGACGAUGUGUGUGUGGUGUGUGCUUGUGUGUGUUGUAUGAUAUUGUAACACUUCAGUCCUUCUUUUAUACUAUACAGUGUAUACAUAUACAUUUGUGGGUUUGUUUAAAAACCAUUGCUGAGGUUAAGAAAUGCAUUAUGACAAAUACAUCUGAUUCAGGUGUACUGUCUUUUAUUUGCCACAAAUAAAUCACAUCCUGGAAACCUGUACGAUGUGUGGAUUUAAAGAUCUGCCAGAUCUUUGUGACGGCACAGGAUUGCAGUGGAACCCAAACAUAGCCUACGAACUCCCACGCCAUCUCACCAACUGCCGAUAUGCAGUAUGCCUGAUUUUUCCUGUACAGCAAAGAAAUGUAGAGAUUGUGCCUUCAUCAAGAAUAGGUCAUUUGGAAUCACAACUAUUAUUCAAUUUACUUUGUGCGUGUGGUGUUGCUAUUGCUGUUAUUAUUAUGUUACUAGUGACCCCUUUAGUUGAGUUCAAUAGUCUACAUGAAAUCUCUGCACUUGUGUUACCACUAUUGGGAUUGGCAGCUCCCUAAAUGAAAAUGAGAAAAACUUGCCUGGAUGAAAUGUUAUGAACUGUAUGCGUUGUGCUGCUUGCUGAAGUAACAUGACACCCACAUCACCUUCCAGAAAUAAAGUGUAUACAGGCUACCUAA